AGAAUCAACGCUGGCGGCGUGCCUCAGACAUGCAAGUCGAACGCGAAAGCCCCCUUCGGGGGGCAAGUAGAGUGGCGCACGGGUGAGUAACACGUAGGUAAUCUACCUUCGGGUGGGGAAUAACAACCGGAAACGGUUGCUAAUACCGCAUAAUGCAGCGGCACCUAAUGGUGACAGUUGUUAAAGCGGGGGAUCGCAAGAUCUCGCGCCUGAAGAGGAGCCUGCGGCGGAUUAGCUAGUUGGUAGGGUAACGGCCUACCAAGGCGACGAUCCGUA
rnacentral:rRNA from 1 species